AUUGAACGCUAGCGGCAUGCUUUACACAUGCAAGUCGAACGAGUGGCGGACGGGUGAGUAAUAUAUGUGAACGUGCCCACUAGCGGGGGAUAACUACUCGAAAGGGUUGCUAAUCCCGCAUACUAUUGGGGCGGCCGCUAUGGGAUUAGCUAGUUGGUGGGGUAAAGGCUCACCAGGGCGACGAUCCGUAGCUGGUUUGAGAGGACGACCAGCCACACUGGGACUGAGAGACGGCCCAGACUCCGACGGGAGGCAGAAGGGGGGAAUUUUGGACAAUGGGGGAAACCCUGAGCCAGCCAUGCCGCGUGUAUGAGAAGGCCUUCGGGUUGUAAAGUACUUUAGGCGGGGAAGCGGUAUCUGCAGAAGAAGCACCGGCUAACUACGUGCCAGCAGCCGCGGUAAUAC
rnacentral:rRNA from 1 species